rnacentral:rRNA from 1 species
GUGAGGUGGGAGCGAAUCACAAAACUCGGUCUCAGUUCAGAUUGCAGGCUGCAACUCGCCUGCAUGAAGUUGGAAUUGCUAGUAAUCGCGAAUCAGAAUGUCGCGGUGAAUACGUUCCCGGGCCUUGUACACACCGCCCGUCACACCAUGAGAGUCGAUAACACCCGAAGCCUGUGAGCUAACCUUUUAGGAGGCAGCAGUCGAAGGUGGGGUUGAUGAUUGGGGUGAAGUCGUAACAAGGUACC